UUUUUGGGCCCUUAUUAUCCAUACUUAACCAGCCCGUAAAAGUAAUACCGUUUUUGAGAUGAGGGUUGAACCCCUCUUCUCUUCAUCUCCGCGAUUCGAGAUCAACACCCGAUCUGAGUUUUGAAAGCGUUGAUUCUUCUUCUUCCAAACAAUCAGAAGAGUAACCAGUUACAGAUUAACCAAGUUUCAUGUUUAGAUCUUCACUGAAUUCUGUUUAGGUUUAGCGUUGUUUGGUUCUUGAUUCAUCUUCUCUUUUAGGGGUUAAAAUUUGCAUUAACUAUUUCGAUCCACUGAACCACACACAUUCAAUGACUCUUCCAAGCAAUUAAUCUCCGCUUAUAAAAGGAAGAUUAAAUAUGACCCCCACUAUGAGUUCUUCAAUGCUUGGUCUGCGUCGGCGAAGCUCUGUUAGAUUGGGUGUUCUUCUCCGAUUUGAAGGUCGGGAAGUGUUCAUCAAUUGUGGAGGCACGGCUGCUUCGUUUCUGGGAAGCGAGGAAUGUGAAGCGCGAUGGGGAGCUCAAGUGGUUGGAUUUGUUCCUGGUAGAUGUAAACGUAAUGCUGCUCUUUCUGUUCUUCUGACUACCGGAUUAGAUAUAUGAUAUACUUCUUCCUACAGAUCUUACUGUUGAGAUAACUGCUUGAAGAGUACUGUCACUGACCCUGUUCAAGACAAUAAUCAUGUUAUGGCAACCAUUAAGAUGGACAAUGACAUGUCUGUGACUAUGAGUCUCUUUGACUCUCAGGUUGUUAAGCGCCACAAUCAACUAGAAAUGAAGCGAGGUGACCCAAGGGUUGUGGUUGCAACCAGCGUCAACCCCAAGAUUGUGGGAGCCCGUCUGUGUUAGAUUGCCACCACCGGCACACACUUAUAUUUUGACAAGGAAACACCUGCAGGAGAUUUUUUUUCUACAGGUUGGUCGCGCAAGACAGGACUUGCACCAGCAGCUCCACUGCUAAGGGGCAAUGCUAAGGUGGAAUCUCUGAGCAUAGCGGUGCUCAAUGAUUUUGUCAUCGCUGCUCCCUCUCAGGCAUGUUAACCAGAAUUUAAAUGUUUUAGUACUGAAUGUGAAAGUUUCUGUGUAAUUCUGAUUCUCCGACAAUGUAGGCAAUUGAUUUUAUCUGUACCGAUUCCUGCUCAAACUGUGCCAAGAAACUUUAGCUCCUUGACUCAUC